UUGAACCCAUGACCCCUGACUCCAAAGCCCGGGCUCUUUCCACUGAGCCACACAGCUUCUCUUGUACUUUGUUCCAGAGGUAUUGAGGUUUAUUUCUGGAGGAGUAAUCACAGUUCUAUGUCCCAAAAGCAGCCUCAACAACACGACUUAUCCCUACUGGGUACCUGCCCGUUAACACCUUUGAAGAAAUGUGGUGUUUGGUGAUAAGGAAAAACGGCUCUCCCAGAGUUAGAUUCUUUCCACAGCACACCUGUUCGGAGUGGCAGAGAGGUUGGAAUUUCAACCUACAUCCCAGCUGCCCUUCUCUGCGGAACAAACAACUGCCAUAGGA